UACGUAGGGUGCGAGCGUUAAUCGGAAUACUGGGCGUAAAGCGUGCGCAGGCGGUGAUGUAAGACAGUUGUGAAAUCCCGGCUCACCUGGGAACUGCAUCUGUGACUGCAUCGCUGGAGUGCGGCAGAGGGGAUGGAAUUCCGGCGUGUAGCAGUGAAAUGCGUAGAUAUGCGGAGGACACCGAUGCGAGGACAAUCCCUGGGCGGCACAGCCUCCGAUGCACGAAGAC
rnacentral:rRNA from 1 species